rnacentral:lncRNA from 1 species
CCUACUUCCCUGGCACCUACUGUGAGAUAUGAUCAGAGACAGAGCAAAGCAGGCUCCAACUUAAGGUUAAAAGGAAAAAAAAGCAUUUAUUAACCUACAACUACAAAGGAAGACACACAAAACACAAUAGAACAUAAGAUGAAAACCUUCCAAAAUUCUUCCUCCUCCCCCCACCAAAUUUCCAAUUUCAUUGCCACCCUUCAGACAAUCGAUUCUCAGUCUCUCGAGGAGAGAGAAGUCCCUCUUGCGCCACACGCCUUCCAUGUCCAGUGCUCUCACCACUGCACAUGGAUCAGAGCUGCUUCUGGGGUUUUUCAUUUUAAGGAUACUUUGACCAGUUCCAAAGGGAGCACAGUCCUUCUCCUUUUGGGACACCUGUCCCCCCCAAAUUUCACCCCCUGGGGCCGAGGGGUCUCUUGAACAGAGAUCGUCUUCUUCUCUUCUUCGAGACGGAGGGCACCACCACACCCUCCUCACCCGUCGUCUCUGUUCACUCCUCCACAUCACUGCACUCUCUUGGCUCUGAGCCAUCGCCUCCCCCUAGAACGCAGUCUCUGUGGCACAGAAACACCCGUGGUUCUGCUGUGGCUACACAAGAAAAGUCCAGCCCAAAGCCACUUCAUCAUCUCCUCCCACCUAGAAUUUUCCUCAACAUCUUCUCAAUCUCAACAUCUUCUCAAUCUCAUCAACUUCAGGAGGACUCAGCUUUUGCAAGGUUCUCAUCUUCCUCAAAGGGGUUAAAAGUCCCGAGCUCUCUCUCUCUGCCGGUUUACUUCGUCAACUCCCACGCCUGUCUGCCCUGCUGGGCACCCCCCCCUUCUCCUUCACGCCGGGCCACUAUCACAGCCGCCACAGGCACCGGCUCUGUCUCUCUCUCCCUCUCCGGGGGGGUGGGGGAAUGGAGGAUGGCUGCCCGAAGCCCUUGCAAUGUUCUCCUCCACCCUUGGGCCCAGGCCUGUCCUACCUCUCUCUCUGGCCACAUGGCUCCCCUCCCCCCCUGCCCAGCCAGAUCUGGGCAGGGGGGUCUGCUCACUCUCCAGCGGGACUCCAAGAGGAAGUUCCCCUGGGAGAUCACAGCUUUUAACCCCUGUGUUCUCAGAGGCGUAUCCUGCCCUCAGUGGACAAACCAGGUGCCAAUAUUAAAUCUGAACACUGAUUGGAUUGCCCACACCAUCACAAAAAACUUCAAUUUCCUUUCAAACCACGACAUUCCACCCUUCG